rnacentral:rRNA from 1 species
UACGUAGGGUGCAAGCGGUGUCCGGAAUUAUUGGGCGUAAAGAGCUCGUAGGCGGUCUGUCGCGUCUGCUGUGAAAACUCGGGGCUUAACCCCGGGCCUGCAGUGGGUACGGGCAGACUAGAGUGCGGUAGGGGAGACUGGAAUUCCUGGUGUAGCGGUGAAAUGCGCAGAUAUCAGGAGGAACACCGGUGGCGAAGGCGGGUCUCUGGGCCGUAACUGACGCUGAGGAGCGAAAGCAUGGGGAGCGAACAGG